UUUUUUUUUUUUUUUUUUUUUUUUUUUUUUUCCCUACUUGCAGCGCUACUCGUGGUUUUAUUUUAGUCUGAGGUCGAGUUAACUGCAAUCCGAUUGUAGUAAGGUUUAGAUGAAUCACGUUUGCUAAUUUUAGGAUCAGGUACCUGCCAACGCCCCCCGGCUGUGCCUGGCUGAAUUACAUCGACAUUUCAUACAAACAUCAUCGACAGUCUCUUUGGGGUCUUGGCUAAUCUCCCUAAGGGGCUUCCAGGGUCUCCAUUCAAUGCAUUCCUUUUAACUCAUCCCUGGAAACAUGGCUCACCAUUUGUAGCUUCUCUGCCUCUUUUCUGAGAGAAGGAUGAGGUAGACGUGCCUCUUUUCGAGCUGCACCCAUAGCUUUAAGUCUGUGCUCCCCCGGCCGCCAGCAUUCCAGGGGCUGAGGACGAGUGCAGCUCAGGGCAGGAGGAGCUGAGAGGAGGAAGCUUUUGUGCACAGCAGGAAGUGGCUUUGCUGCCCUUUCUACCAAAAUCGAGUUUCAGGAAAAUGGCUCUGUGCUCUUUGUUUUUAGUGACACUUUGCUUGUGUCCUGUGAGUUGUAGCUCCCCUUUAUCUGGCACUGCUAAGCUUUCCAAGGUAUCCUUCCCGUCCAGCUGGUGUUUGGUGGUCCAUCGUGGCAGGGUUGAGACACCUCGGGGACUGCCAGGGGGGUCCCUGCUCUCCUUCUCCAGGCAUCGCCUGCACCAUCCUUUUCCAGCAGGGACGAAGGCACAGCCCCUUUCCUCCUAUCAGCCACUUUGUACAGCUCUUCACUUUUUAGCACUUCGGUCUGUUUACUGAGGCCCUGGCAAGUCCCAGGGCUCACAUGGAACUUUCCCUGGAGGAGAUGCUGGAGUUAGGGGGUGGAAUGCAGGCAGGUCACAGAAAGUGUGAGUGGGCGGGUGGAGAGAUGAACAAAGCAGCGGCGUUUCUCUGGCUCAGACUCCUAAGAAUGCUUGACAAGACAAGUGUUUUUUGGAAGAACCUCAUCUCACCAUAGUUACUUUUUUCACUUUUGUUAUAUAUGUAUUUAUUAGAUCAUCUAAGUAUUGGUACCUUUUAUUAAAAGGGUCGAUGUGGUGUUUUGCUGUUGAGCUGGUUUUUCGUUUCCUAUAAAUAAGAUGAGUUGUAGAUCUUGGCUUCCUUUGGGAAGUCCAUUGACUUCCAUACACUAUGAUAUACUGUGAACCUAUUCUUUUGUUACCUAAUAAAUCAGCGAACGAACAUGCAAACUCUUUGGCAGAAUGUGAACUCAAAUUGACACCGAAUAUGUUACUGGCCAUUUUGCAGCAAUUAAGAGCAUAGCACUUUAUCUCGAUGAAAACUGGAUUCCUUAUCUUUGAAAUAUCUUGAACUGUUUCUCGCUCACAACUUCAAUAAGCAUGCCAACACUUCACCUGUUCAUGCUUGAAGUGAAAUGUUUUAUUUUUCACUGGAGAAGACAAAAACAGGGUGAUCUUCACAUUAUUGUUUUAUACAAGUGAUGAAAAUAUACCUUGCCUUGUUUCGAGGCGAAUUCCUAUUUAUAAAGAUGUUGUCUUUUUUUCCUCCACAAAACAUAUAACAUUGCUUACCUGGAAGGUGAAUUUUUAUUCUGUUUUUAAGAAGAGACGCUUUCCGGUUGCAGGUGACUGAUAUAGGUAGGGUUCUGAUUGUACUACACAUAAUCCAUGUUUUUGACUGUAGGUUGCAAAGUUGAACAAAAGAUGAUUGCUCUCUAAUAUAUCUGGAACUGAUUCAUGAGAAGAGCUAAAAUAAGAUUAUCUUGGAAAUGAAUCUAAUUUAUUCAGAAAGAAAAGUUUGAAUCGGAAGCCUCUAGAAGUAAUAUGUAAAUGCUCAGUCAUAGAUGCAAUGCUUUUGUUGUUGUUGUUGUUGUGUAAAAAGUUUUUCCCAGUGAUUUCACUGAACUAGUUCCCUUUAAUAGAAAGGGUCAGCUAAAAUUCAGUAUUCCUGGGUACAUUUUUGGAAUCAAAAAGUAAGUACUGAAGAGAAGACCAAGACAUUAAAAUGGUUGUGUGAUGCAGGAAAGAAGAUUGAGAAAAGACCAAAACACUUCUCCGCCAACACUCCAUCCUUUUUUGUUUUUGUUUUUUUUUUAAACUUUAGGGCUAUCAGGGAAAUUUCUUCCCUCUUCCUCCUUCAUAAACGAAAAGAACCCUAGGCAGCUACGUUUCCCUCCAGUCAUUUCAGGUUAUGUGACGGCGAGGACACGUGAUCACUUCUCUUCUUUUUCAUCCCUCCCUCAUCGUGGGAAGCAGGGAGUGGUGUGGGAUGUGUGAGACCCUUCUGAGGUCAAGGACAGCACAAUGGCUCAGCAGUAUUCCCUGCGAUGCCCAGGGGUUUUGUGUGUCAUUUCUGGCAGGAGCGAGCAAGCCGGCAGUAGUUCUUUUACCUACGGGGUGUUUUGAAAUAAGUUACAGUGAUUUACAGGUUACAAAGAGAAAGAAGGAAUAUCUACUUUAUUUGGUUACUUCCUUGUCGGACGUCGAGAUGAGGGUCCGUUGGCUACAACGUCAUUUGUCUCAAUGUUGGUAGAAUGCUGGUCUCCAGUCCUGUUCUUCUGAUGCAUUUUUUUUCAUUCCGGGGCAACGUGAAGGGGGCUGGUUUGAAGAACGCCAAGGAAUCACACAAGAGGGUGGUGCUUUGACUAGGAAACCAGUCAUAUUGGUUUUAUAGCCUGGUAUAUUUUGGAUUUCAGAUGAAAUGGGGGGCGGGGAGUGACAGAAAUGGUCCCUAUGCAUUUAUUUUCAUGGAUACCCUUAAAUUUUCAUGGGCAUGCCUAACAAUGAACUAUGGUCUAACUGGAGCUUAGGGCUUAUUUUAGAUAUUGGAGUGUAGCUUUAUUACAGAUGGAUUUUAUCUUUAAACAUUGCAUUUUGAUCAACUUUGUAUAUUCAUGUGUAUUAAAAUAUUGUGCACUAAAUGUUUUGCCCUCGUUUGCUAUUAUAUGGUCAAGGCAUUUAUCAGCACUCGUGUGAUUAACUCAUGUAAGUGGCAUGGGUCAGGGAAAACGAUUUCCUACAUUUCUGCCUAAUUAAAUUUCUGUUUUCCAGUAUUACAUUAAUUUAUUUUUGGCUUCCAUUUCUGUGUAACCAAAAUAGUUACUGUAUUUGUGUGGCAUUCCUUUAUUUGACUUUGUUGCUAAGAAAAAAAGAAAAAAAGUUAGUUUUUAUUUAAAAUAAUCUGUACCUUUUUUUUUUUUUAAUGUAACCAACUCAAGCACUUUAAGCAAUAAUGUCAAUCUUGUGAAACUUCAAUCGGUUUAACACCCUGCCUCUAAAAUUGUUUGCAAAAAAAUAAAUAAAUAAAAUAG
ensembl:lncRNA